rnacentral:rRNA from 1 species
UGAGUACGAGAUGCUACGGCGUCGAAGCAGUCUAUGUCAUACUUCCAAGAAAAGCUUGCACUGUCAUAAACAAAGAAUGCCUGUACCAUAACCGACACAGGUGGGUAGGUAGAGUAUACUAAGGGGCGCGAGAUAACUCUCUCUAAGGAACUCGGCAAAAUGACUCCGUAACUUCGGGAGAAGGAGUGCCUUAUUUUUAAGGUUGCAAUAACAAGAUCCAAGCAACUGUUUACCAAAAACACAGGUCUCCGCUAAGUCGUAAGACGAUGUAUGGGGGCUGACGCCUGCCCAGUGCCAGAAGGUUAAAGAAGUUGGUUAGCAUUCGCGAAGCUGAUAACUGAAGCCCUGGUGAACGGCGGCCGUAACUAUAACGGUCCUAAGGUAGCGAAAUUCCUUGUCGGGUAAGUUCCGACCCGCACGAAAGGCGUAAUGAUUUGGAUACUGUCUCGGAGAGGGGCUCGGUGAAAUAGACUUGUCUGUGAAGAUGCGGACUACCUGCACCUGGACAGAAAGACCCUAUGAAGCUUUACUGUAACUUGAGAUUGAAAUUGGACUUUAUUUGCGCAGUAUAGGUGGGAGGCGUUGAGAAUAAUCUUGCGGGAUUAUGGGAGCCAUCAGUGAGAUACCACUCUUGUAAUGUUAGAUUUCUAACUUUGUAUCAUUAUCUGGUCAAAGAACAGUUUCAGGCGGGCAGUUUGACUGGGGCGGUCGCCUCCCAAAGGGUAACGGAGGCGCACAAAGGUUUCCUCUGAACGGGUAGAAAUCGUAUCUAGAGUGUAAAGGCAUAAGGAAGCUUGACUGUGAGACCUACAAGUCGAGCAGGGACGAAAGUCGGUCUUAGUGAUCUGACGGUGCUGAGUGGAAAGGCCGUCACUCAACGGAUAAAAGUUACUCUAGGAUAACAGGCUGAUCUCCCCCAAGAGUUCACAUCGACGGGGAGGUUUGGCACCUCGAUGUCGGCUCAUCGCAUCCUGGGGCGGUAGUACGUCCCAAGGGUUGGGCUGUUCGCCCAUGAAAGCGGUACGCGAGCUGGGUUCAGAACGUCGUGAGACAGUUCGGUCCAUAUCCGGUGUAGGCGUUAGAAUAUUGAAAGGAGCCUUCUCUAGUACGAGAGGACCGAGAAGGACAUACCUCUGGUGUACCAGUUAUCGUGCCAACGGUAAACGCUGGGUAGCUAUGUAUGGAGUGGAUAACCGCUGAAAGCAUCUAAGUGGGAAGCCCACCUUAAGAUAAGUAUUCUC